rnacentral:rRNA from 1 species
GACGAACGCUGGCGGCGUGCUUAACACAUGCAAGUCGAACGAAGUGGCGAACGGGUGAGUAACGCGUAAUCAACCUGCCCUUCAGUGGGGGAUAACAGUUGGAAACGACUGCUAAUACCGCAUACUGAAGGAGGGGAAUGCGGCUGAUUAGCUAGUUGGGGGGGUGACGGCCAACCAAGGCGAUGAUCAGUAGCCGGUCGGGUAGGAAUAACGGCCACAUUGGGGCUGGGACACGGCCCAGACUCCUACUGGAGGCAGCAGUGGGGAAUCUUCCGAAAUGGAGGAAAGUCUGACGGAGCAACGCCGCGUGAGUGAUGACGGCCUUCGGGUUUUAAAGCUCUGUUAAUCGGGACGCGGUACCGGAAUAGAAAGCCACGGCUAACUACGUGCCAGCAGCCGCGGUAAUAC